CCCUUAGAUGUUCUGGGCCGCACGCGCGCUACACUGACGGAUUCAACGAGCUUACAACCUUGGCCGAAAGGUCUGGGUAAUCUCCAAAAUCCGUCGUGAUGGGGAUAGAUUAUUGCAAUUAUUAAUCUUCAACGAGGAAUGCCUAGUAAGCGCAAGUCAUCAGCUUGCGUUGAUUACGUCCCUGCCCUUUGUACACACCGCCCGUCGCUCCUACCGAUUGAGUGGUCCGGUGAGGCUUUGGGAUCUGAGCGGAAAGAGCGUUUCGCUGUUUCUGCUCGGAAAACUCAGUCGAACCUUAUCAUUUAGAGGAAGGAGAAGUCGUAACA
rnacentral:rRNA from 1 species